GACGAACGCUGGCGGCGUGCCUAAUACAUGCAAGUCGAGCGCAGGAAAUCGACGGAACCCUUCGGGGGGAAGUCGAUGGAAUGAGCGGCGGACGGGUGAGUAACACGUAAAGAACCUGCCCUCAGGUCUGGGAUAACCACGAGAAAUCGGGGCUAAUACCGGAUGGGUCAUCGGACCGCAUGGUCCGAGGAUGAAAGGCGCUUCGGCGUCGCCUGGGGAUGGCUUUGCGGUGCAUUAGCUAGUUGGUGGGGUAAUGGCCCACCAAGGCGACGAUGCAUAGCCGACCUGAGAGGGUGAUCUGCCACACUGGGACUGUGACACGGCCCAGACUCCUACGGGAGGCAGCAGUAGGGAAUCUUCCACAAUGGACGAAAGUCUGAUGGAGCAACGCCGCGUGAACGAUGAAGGCCUUCGGGUCGUAAAGUUCUGUUGUAAGGGAAGAACAAGUGCCGCAGGCAAUGGCGGCACCUUGACGGUACCUUGCGAGAAAGCCACGGCUAACUACGUGCCAGCCGCCGCCGUAACAC
rnacentral:rRNA from 1 species